AGCAGCCGCGGUAAUUCCAGCUCCAAUAGCGUAUAUUAAAGUUGUUGCAGUUAAAAAGCUCGUAGUUGAAUUUCGGGAUCAAAUUGUCGGUCGUGCCUCGGUACGAACUGGUAUUAUUGGUUCCUACCUUCUGAAGAACCGCGAUGUCAUUAAUUUGGUGUCGUGGGGAAUCAGGACUGUUACUUUGAAAAAAUUAGAGUGUUUAAAGCAGGCUUACGCUUGAAUACAUUAGCAUGGAAUAACGGAAUAGGACGUUUGAUUCUAUUUUGUUGGUUUCUAGGAUCGACGUAAUGAUUAAUAGGGAUAGUUGGGGGCAUUAGUAUUCAAUUGUCAGAGGUGAAAUUCUUGGAUUUAUUGAAGACUAACUACUGCGAAAGCAUUUGCCAAGGAUGUUUUCAUUAAUCAAGAACGAAAGUUAGGGGAUCGAAGACGAUCAGAUACCGUCGUAGUCUUAACCAUAAACUAUGCCGACUAGGGAUCGGAUGAUGUUAAUUUUUUAAUGACUCAUUCGGCGCCUUACGG
rnacentral:rRNA from 1 species